ensembl:lncRNA
AUGGCAAAUAUUUGGAGAAGCAAGAGUGGACUUAUUCGCGUCGAGCAUGACUACGCAUUGCCCACUGUGGUUCUCCCCAUGCCCUCCAUCGCCCCUAGGCUUGGAUGCGUUAGCUCACAAUUGGCCCAGAACCAGCUUGUAUGCUUUUCCCCCGAUUCGUCUAAUUCCAGCUGUGUUAUCCAAGAUACGGCUGGACAGAGUGGAGCAGCUGCUGCUGGUGGCUCCGUGGUGGCCCACAAAGCCGUGGUUUGCGGAUCUGGUCAGUCUGUUAGCGGGCUCUCCAUGGGAGAUUCCCCUCAGACAGGACUUACUAUCGCAAGCACAGGGAAUGAUUUGGCACCCAAGGCCAGAUCUAUGGAAGCUGUGGGCGUGGCCUCUAAGCGGAGUGAGUUAAUAUGUCCCGGUCUUUCUGUUGAAACCACCGAGACUAUAAUGAAUUCUAGGGCAGCUUCUACGAGACGCUUAUAUGCUUUCAAAUGGAAACUGUUUACGGCCUGGUGUGGAAUUCGUAAUAUGGAUCCGGUUUACUGCCCAGUGGCUUCAGUACUGGAAUUCCUUCUAGACCGUUUCUCUGAUGGAGUAACGCCAGACACUCUGAAAGUUUACGUGGCAGCCAUUUCAGCUAACCACAUAUAUAUAGAUGGUGCUUCAGUGGGCCAUCAUCCGCUGGUCUCUCGUUUUAUACAGGGUGCGCGACGGCUGAGGCCUUUCCGCCCUGUGCGAGUUCCUUCAUGGGAUUUAUCCAUUGUGUUGCAAGGUUUAUCAGGGCAUCCGUUUGAGCCCUUGGAAACUAUACCAGAUAAAAUCCUGACUUUAAAGACAGUUCUUCUUGUGGCUUUAUCCUCCCUCAAGAGAGUUGGGGAUUUACAGGCUCUUUCUGUUUCGCCCUUGUGCAUGGAUUUUGCACCAGGCUCUGUGAAAGUAUUGCUGCAACCGAGGCCUAGUUAUGUCCCUAAGGUCGCUUCGAACCCUUUUCACUUUCAACAAGUGGUCUUGGAGGCUUUACCCCCUGCAGAGGUGGGGUCAGGAGAGCUGAGUCUUUGCCCUGUCAGAGCGCUGAAGACUUAUGUUGAUCGAACAGCCCCAUGGCGUGAGUCUGACCAGCUGUUUGUCUGUUUCGGACACAAGAAUAGAGGCCAUGCUGUCACAAAGCAACGCAUGUCCCAUUGGUUGGUGGAGGCAAUAUCUUUAGCCUAUGAAGCGCGCGGACUCGCUUCGCCCUUAGGAGUUAGAGCUCAUUCCAUGAGAGCAGUGACUUCUUCACAGGCUUUUCUCAGUGGAUCUUCUAUGGAUGAUAUCUGUGCUGCGGCAGGAUGGUCCUCACCGAGCACUUUUAUCAAGUUUUACAGUCUGGAUGUGAGGACGGCUCCUGGCUCCCGGGUUCUCUCUGCUUGA